GACGAACGCUGGCGGCGUGCUUAACACAUGCAAGUCGAACGGAAAGGCCCUGCUUUUGUGGGGUGCUCGAGUGGCGAACGGGUGAGUAACACGUGAGUAACCUGCCCUUGACUUUGGGAUAACUUCAGGAAACUGGGGCUAAUACCGGAUAGGAGCUCCUGCUGCAUGGUGGGGGUUGGAAAGUUUCGGCGGUUGGGGAUGGACUCGCGGCUUAUCAGCUUGUUGGUGGGGUAGUGGCUUACCAAGGCUUUGACGGGUAGCCGGCCUGAGAGGGUGACCGGGCACAUUGGGACUGAGAUACGGCGCAGACUCGUACGGGAGGCAGCAGUGGGGAAUAUUGCACAAUGAGCGGAAGCCUGAUGCAGCAGCGCCGCGUGCGGGAUGACGGCCUUCGGGUUGUAAACCGCUUUCGCCUGUGACGAAGCGUGAGUGACGGUAAUGGGUAAAGAAGCACCGGCUAACUACGUG
rnacentral:rRNA from 1 species